rnacentral:lncRNA from 1 species
CCUCUGUUCUCUGCAGGAGGAUCAGCUGGGCCUGUCCCUGCUCAGCCUGGAGCAGCUAGAAUCAGAGGAGACGCUGAAGAGGAUAGAGCAGAUUGCUCAGCAGCUCUGAGUGGGGCGGGUGGGGCCAUAAACGGUUCCUGGUGACUCCUGAGUCUUGCCUGGCCCUGGUUCCCAGCGGCGGUGGUGCUAGAAGGUCUUAUGAAGUCAGGUGACAUUUCUCACUGUCACGUCCACAGCCUUUAAUCGCAGGAGAAGGCAGCUAUCCACCAGGUAC